UACAGAGGGAGCAAGCGUUGUUCGGAAUUACUGGGCGUAAAGGGCGCGUAGGCGGUUCGAUAAGUCCCGUGUGAAAUCCCUCGGCUCAACUGAGGAAUGGCACGGGAAACUGACGGGCUUGAGUUCGGGAGAGGGAAGCGGAAUUCCGGGUGUAGCGGUGAAAUGCGUAGAGAUCGGGAAGAAUACCAGUGGCGAAGGCGUUCUGCUGGGCCGUUGCUGACACUGAGGCGCGACAGCGUGGGGAGCAAACAGG
rnacentral:rRNA from 1 species